UUCUACGGCCAUGCCACCCUGAACAUGCCCAAUCUCGUCUGAUCUCGGAAGCUAAGCAGGGUUGGGCCUGGUUAGUACUUGAAUGGCAGACCACCUAGGAAUACCAGGUGCUGUAGGCA
rnacentral:rRNA from 1 species